GCAAGUUAAAUUAGGAAAAACGGACACUCCAAAAUCAAAUUGAAUGUAGUGUAAUAUUUGAAAUGGAAGGACUGAUACCUGUGAUUAACAAACUUCAAGAUGUGUUCAAUACAAUUGGUUCUGAGGCAAUUAAUCUACCACAGAUUGUUGUGAUAGGCAACCAGAGCUCUGGAAAGAGUUCAGUACUUGAGAGUUUAGUUGGGAGAGAUUUCCUGCCGAGAGGAACAGGCAUUGUGACUAGAAGGCCCUUAAUUCUUCAGUUGAUUCAUGUCAACAAAGGUGACAGGGAGGCUCGUGCGCAAGAUGGAGAUCCAAUUAAAGCAGAUGAGUGGGGAAAAUUCCUGCACACGAAAAACAAAAUUUACACUGAUUUCCGUGAUAUCAGACAAGAAAUUGAAAGCGAAACAGAAAGAAUGACUGGGACUAAUAAGGGAAUAUGUCCAGAACCAAUCAAUUUAAAAAUAUAUUCCCCAAAAGUGGUGAACCUGACUUUGGUGGACCUGCCUGGAAUGACCAAGGUACCAGUGGGAGAUCAACCAGAGGACAUUGAGCUACAGAUCCGAGACCUGUGUACGGAUUACAUCCAGAAUCCAAACUCCAUCAUCUUAGCUGUGUGUGCUGCCAACACAGACAUGGCUACAUCUGAAUCUCUAAAGCUAGCCAGAGAAGUGGACCCAGACGGUCGCCGGACCUUGGCAGUGGUGACAAAACUAGACUUGAUGGAUCACGGGACAGAUGCGAUGGAAGUUCUGUGUGGGCGGGUCAUUCCUGUCAAAUUAGGAAUUAUAGGAGUGGUCAACCGAAGCCAGGCAGACAUCAACAGUCAAAAGGAAAUGACAGACACUUUGAAAGAUGAGGCCUCUUUUCUACAGAAGAAGUACCCCUCCAUUGCCAGCCGCCAUGGCUCACAUUACCUAGCCAAAACCCUGAACAGACUGCUAAUGCAUCACAUCAGAGAUUGUCUUCCAGAGCUGAAAACCAGAGUCAAUGUGUCCAUUGCCCAGUUCCAGUCACUGCUCAAUUCAUUUGGAGAACCAGUAGAAGAUAAGAGUCAGCUGCUGUUGCAAAUCAUCACCAGAUUUGCCACCGCCUACUGUAGUACAAUAGAAGGCAACUCCAAAAAUAUCGAGACCUCAGAAUUAUGCGGAGGGGCCAGAAUAUGCUACAUCUUCCAUGAGACGUUUGGUCGUACACUGGAGAGUGUGAAUCCCUUGGGAGGGUUAACUCCCCUGGACAUCCUGACAGCAAUUAGAAAUGCCACUGGCCCUAGACCAGCUCUGUUUGUCCCUGAAGUUUCGUUUGAGCUACUCGUGAAGCGACAGAUUCGUCGGCUGGAGGAGCCAAGUCUACGAUGCGUAGAAUUAGCUCACGAGGAAAUGCAGAGGAUUAUACAACACUGUGGAACACAGCAAGAGAUGUUGAGGUUUCCAAAAUUACAUGAGAAGAUAGUAGAUGUAGUAACUAACUUAUUACGGAAGAGAUUGCAACCCACCAACAACAUGGUGCAAAAUUUAGUAGCAAUAGAGUUAGCAUAUAUCAAUACCAAACAUCCAGAUUUUCAUGAGGCAAACCUUUUUCAAAGAUCACAGGAAUUAGAAAUGAGUAAAAACUUUAACGAAUUCCACGUUAAUAACGAGUCUACAAAGGAUAAUAAGGUAAUGUAGUGUGACUGUUCCAUGCUGAAUUUUAUAUUCAUUACUCGUUAAGGAAAUUAAAGUAUUUUAAUGGAGAAUGGAAAUUCAUUGCUGUAUCAAAUGUAAGAACAUUUAAAAACAAUUAUGAUAUAAUUCUUAACUAUACAUUUAUUGGUGUUAAAUUUCAGAAAGUAAACAGUGGUAAAAUUUACACAGUUUUGCUCUCUUAGUGUAUAGAUUUUUUGUUGUUUGCAGAAAGUAAACACUGGUAAAAUUUCUAACUUUUUGCGGGGUCAGGGUGACUUGCAUCACGCUGAUUCAUCCCAGGCCAGCAGUCCGGCCAGUAGUCGACCCGACUCCCCCGCCCACAGUGUUAAAGGGGUCAACCUCCUCUCAGAUGUAGUAAGUAUUGCAUUUGUUUAUAUUAUUAAAACUUGCAAACUUUUUUUUUCGUGGUACAUGUAUAAUUGAAAAUGAAUUAUUGAAAAAAAGCUUUAAUGAUUGAGGCUUGCAACAAUUGAUUUUUCAUGCAAUGCUAAUUAAUAGAGCUUUUUUAAAUUCUCCUCCCCCACAAAAAGUUGGGGCAAGGGGAACGGGUGGGGUAAGAACCCCCCCCCCCCCCCC
rnacentral:misc_RNA from 1 species